rnacentral:misc_RNA from 1 species
GUAGGUGAACCUGCGGAAGGAUCAUUACAGAGUUCAUGCCCUCACGGGUAGAUCUCCCACCCUUGAAUAUAUACCUUUGUUGCUUUGGCGGGCCGCGUCAAGCUACGGGCUUCGGCUCGUACGUGCCCGCCAGAGGACCCAACUCUUGUUUUUAGUGAUGUCUGAGUACUAUAUAAUAGUUAAAACUUCCAACAACGGAUCUCUU